GACGAACGCUGGCGGCGUGCUUAACACAUGCAAGUCGAACGGAAAGGCCCUGCUUUUGUGGGGUGCUCGAGUGGCGAACGGGUGAGUAACACGUGAGUAACCUGCCCUUGACUUUGGGAUAACUUCAGGAAACUGGGGCUAAUACCGGAUAGGAGCUCCUGCUGCAUGGUGGGGGUUGGAAAGUUUCGGCGGUUGGGGAUGGACUCGCGGCUUAUCAGCUUGUUGGUGGGGUAGUGGCUUACCAAGGCUUUGACGGGUAGCCGGCCUGAGAGGGUGACCGGCCACAUUGGGACUGAGAUACGGCCCAGACUCCUACGGGAGGCAGCAGUGGGGAAUAUUGCACAAUGGGCGGAAGCCUGAUGCAGCAACGCCGCGUGCGGGAGGACGGCCUUCGGGUUGUAACCGCUUUCGCCUGUGACGAAGCGUGAGUGACGGUAAUGGGUAAAGAAGCACCGGCUAACUACGUG
rnacentral:rRNA from 1 species